UCACUCUUUAUGUGGCUGAGGGGGAAGGUGGAGGUCAGUGGGCCAUGACCAAAGAAGUCACCCAGCCUCUAGGGACAUAACUGGAUGAGCAAGGCUGCCACGGGAUGGAGUGAGCCAUGGGCAAUUUAAUCCUCCUGUUUCCACGGCAAAUCCCUGAGUCAUAUGAUCAAAUACACCAAUCAGAUCAAAAGGAAGUGGCAGAUUGGGAAGAGGGGCAGGAGAGAACGAAGCCUAUGAGAAUCAAACCUCCAAAGGAAAUGCAUACAGUUCCAGCUUUCUGAUACUAAGAUCCUUCCCAACCCCAUCCCAACCGUGGGCAAAGAAAUGCAAUAAAAUGGUUAACCACACAGACUGACAAAAUUUAGUUCUGCAGAAGACGAAGGAUGACUUCCUGCCCCACAUAUUUGCAUGGAAAGAGGAACAAAAGAGCUUCUCUAAUCAAAACUUCAUUUUGGAAAUCUGUAAAAUAUCACCCCUCUCCUCUGAAAAGGUGGUUAAAAAAAAAAACAG